rnacentral:rRNA from 1 species
UACGUAGGGGGCAAGCGUUGUCCGGAUUUAUUGGGCGUAAAGCGCGUGUAGGCGGUCAGGCAGGUCUGACGUGAAAUUUCGAGGCUCAACCUCGAUCGGUCGUUGGAAACCACCUGGCUAGAGUCCGGAAGAGGAGAGUGGAAUUCCUGGUGUAGCGGUGAAAUGCGCAGAUAUCAGGAAGAACACCGAUGGCGAAGGCAGCUCUCUGGGACGGUACUGACGCUGAGACGCGAAAGCGUGGGGAGCGAACAGG